rnacentral:rRNA from 1 species
UACAGAGGUCUCAAGCGUUGUUCGGAUUCAUUGGGCGUAAAGGGUGCGUAGGUGGCGUCGUAAGUCAGGUGUGAAAUCUCGGGGCUCAACCCCGAAACUGCACUUGAUACUGCGAUGCUCGAGUACUGGAGAGGAGAUUGGAAUUUACGGUGUAGCGGUGAAAUGCGUAGAUAUCGUAAGGAAGACCAGUGGCGAAGGCGGGUCUCUGGACAGUUCCUGACGCUGAGGCACGAAGGCCAGGGAGCAAACGGG